rnacentral:rRNA from 1 species
GUCUACAGUCAUGCCACCCUGAACAAGCCUGAUUCCAUCUGAUCUUGGAAGCUAAGCAAGGUUGGGCCUGGUUAGUACGUGGAUGGAAGAUCACCUAGGAAGACCAUGUGCUGUGAGCG